rnacentral:rRNA from 1 species
UACAGAGGUCCCAAGCGUUGUUCGGAUUCACUGGGCGUAAAGGGCUCGUAGGCGGCCAACUAAGUCAGACGUGAAAUCCCCAGGCUUAACCUGGGAACUGCGUCUGAUACUGGAUGGCUUGAAUUCGGGAGAGGGAUGCAGAAUUCCAGGUGUAGCGGUGAAAUGCGUAGAUAUCUGGAGGAAUACCGGUGGCGAAGGCGGCAUCCUGGACCGACAUUGACGCUGAGGAGCGAAAGCUAGGGGAGCAAACGGG